UACGGGGGGGGCAAGCGUUGUUCGGAAUUACUGGGCGUAAAGGGCUCGUAGGCGGCCAACUAAGUCAGACGUGAAAUCCCUCGGCUUAACCGGGGAACGGCAUCUGAUACUGGAUGGCUUGAGUUCGGGAGAGGGAUGCGGAAUUCCAGGUGUAGCGGUGAAAUGCGUAGAUAUCUGGAGGAACACCGGUGGCGAAGGCGGCAUCCUGGACCGGUAUUGACGCUGAGGAGCGAAAGCCAGGGGAGCAAACGGG
rnacentral:rRNA from 1 species